UCGUGGUAAGCUUCCGGCUCUAAAACCCCCAUCUUUCUCCCCCGGUCCUCUUGUUCCAAUCUAAGAAGCAAAAAUCCUAAGGGAAAAAUCUGGUCCAAAAAUUCCAUGGAUUCGAGCGAUGGGAUGAGCGACAUGGUUCCUAGCGGCGGUGUGCUUCUUUGCCGCGACCGAACUCUUCGUCCCUGAUGCUCUCCAUUCCCCCCUCCGGCGUAGGCUCCAUCACGUCCGCCAAGCUGGCUCACGUCCUCUCCUUUGCCACCUUCUGGGGCGCCACCCUCUGGCCCACCUUCAUUAGCGCCGCCCUCUAGAAAUCCAAGAAAGGCAGCAACCAAAACAGAGGAGGUGUGCAGGAGGAGGAGGUGGUGCUGGAGGGGAAGAUCUCACAAGCGAGUGAAGACCACACAGUCUCGCGCACUCGCAAACCCAGUGCACGCUGCGGUUUUCCUCUUCGCCCACCUUCUUGGAGCGGGGAGGUUGGCCAUGAGGAGGUGGUGCCCGGCUGCCCUGCUGGGCUUCGUAGUGGCGCUGUCCGUUCUGGUGGCCGCCGUGGAAUGCGCUGUGGCUUACGACAAGAAGGCAGUGCUGAUUGAUGGGCAGAUGCGGAUUCUCUUCUCCGGAUCCAUACACUUCCCCAGGAGCACCCCUGAUGUAACUGCAUUUUACAAAAUCUCUUCUCCCCCCACUAUUCCCUGGAGAGGUUUAUGGCUGCGGUCAGUUGUUUCUUGAUGCAAAGCUCUCAAAAGCAAAUUGUUUUAGCCGUCCCUCUUUCUUCCACGGUUAGUUUCUUGUAUGGGGUUUGAGAUUUUCUCGGUCAUUGUCUCCUCCGGCCUCCCUCCCUUGUUUUUCUCUACAACAACCGUGUUUCUUGGUUCUUCCUUGCACAACAUUUGGAUAACCCAAACUAAGAAAUUUCCGACGAAAAAACUAUUUUGGGUGGUUUUGUGGCAUUUUUUAGAAUCUAUGGAUCUGAAGUGAGUGCUUCUUCUUUCUUUUCUUUUCAAUCAAAUGUGGGAAGGGCUGAUUCAGAAAGCUAAAGACGGAGGCUUGGAUGUCAUUCAGACCUAAGUCUUUUGUAAUGGACAUGAGCCUACGCCUGGAAAUUACUAUUUCGAGGAGAGGUACGAUUUAGUCAGGUUCAUAAAGACGGUCCAAAAGGCCGGCCUGUUUGUACAUCUCUGCAUCGGUCCUACAUUUGUGGCGAGUGGAACUUCGGGUAUGGGGUAUUUCUCCAUUUCCUGAAAUCACCUCCGUUAAAAAUGGAGCAUUAUCGUGUCUCCAGUUUGGUUUAAGUAUGUACCCGGCAUCAGCUUCAGGACAGACAACGAACCUUUCAAGAUCAAUACAUGCAAUGGUUUCUACUGUGAUGCAUUUUCUCCUAACAAACCUUACAAGCCCAGAAUGUGGACUAAAGCUUGGAGUGGCUGGUGGCGGCAAGCCUGUCUCUCAGUGUGCACUGUGCAGUCUGCUGGUCAUGCCUUGCAUGUCUUUGUCAAUGGACAGCUUCAAGGUUCUGCAUAUGGUACUAGGGAAGAUUGAAGAAUCAAAUACAAUGGCAAUGCUAACCUUCGAGCCGGUACUAACAAAAUUUCCAUGCUGAGUGUUGCCUGUGGAUUGCCGAUCUUUGUCCUGAUAUAGAAUGUUGGAGUGCAUUAUGAGACGUGGAACACUGGUGUUGGUGGUCCUGUUGUGCUUCAUAGGCUGGAUGAAGGUUCACGAGACCUUACUUGGCAGACUUGGUCCUAUCAGGUCGCCCGAGUGCUACUUGUGCUACCGAGUGCUGCUGUGCAGCCUAUGCUACCUGGUGUGUGACUGCGUGGUGACUGCUUGGUGCUUGGCUGCUUGCUGCCGAGUGUAAGACGCCAGGACCAGGAGGCAGGACCGCCGGAGCAGCGAGUAGGAGCCAGGAGCCCAACCUAGGUCCAUGUGGCGAGCACAGAUGUGCAGAGAAGAUAGGCAGACAACAAAAUCUACCUUGUAGUUCAAGUAUACCCUUACCCAAACCCAAUACUUUGGGUACUUGAAAUUUCAGGUACCUAAAAUAUUCAGCUCAAGUUCGGUUUGACCUGUUAGAUA